CUGUAGGACGGCUGUCAAUGGGACGUCAGAGGUGGGCGUGUCAGGCGGCUCUUGAGAGAGAUCUUCAGAGCAUCUGCUCACAGUGGUAGGUGAGGUCCAGGAAGGAGAAAACAGGGGAGCGGCUGGAUCCAGGGCUGAGCUCCGAGUCUGAACCGUCGUCUGAAAGGUUGCUGUAGCUGGGAGACUGAGCGGGAGAUGCACUGGAGGUGGUGCUGUGGGCAUCUGAAUCUGCUCUUUCUGCAGCCUGCUGAUCUGGCUCGGCCGUGCUUUCUUGGAGAUGGAUUUUAUCUUCUUCGGCCUUGAAGUUAUCUUUAGGCUGGG